CAAUAAUAACAUGGAUGAGCCAUUUCUUUAACGACAGUAGCAUGGAAAUAGCAAUUUUUUAUCGGAUGACAUGAAUAAACCAUUUCUAAAAGUUGAGUUAUAUUUUUAGGCCUUUUCCGUUUUCCUCAUGUAAUUUUGAGACAUAUUAGUUGUUAAAUUUCUUGAAUAUAAUAAACAUUCACAUAUAACUAACAUGCCAAUAUUAUAUUGGUAUAAGAUUGACUUAAAUGGAGCGUAUGAACAGUGAAAUUAUAUAACUAAUCUCAACUUGAUUGGUGU
rnacentral:lncRNA from 1 species